AGUGUGCGUGUGCAUGUGGGGGAGUGAUGCUCCUCCUCCGAGCUUCAUAACCGAGUGUCGCUGCUGCCGCCGGUCAGUGAGGCGCUGCUGAGCCCGAGAGAUGACGACAGGCUGUGUGAGGCCGACCCUGGAGCCUGAACAUGGACCGAUGACACAGGAAGGCAAACGCUGUAAGCACAAUGAGGCGGGCCUGAUGGACAGGAAGUCUGAGAUGCAGGACGAUAAAGGGGACAAGGAGUGCAAAGAGAAGCAGGCGGACCAGAAGAAACCUCGCAGGAAAGACACGCCCAUCCUCCACUGUCCUCCACAUAUACCAGGAGUGACGCUGCUGAAAGCACAGAAGCAGAUGGUCCACGUAGAGGACGAGGAGAAAGACGUGAAGGAAUAAAACUUUUAUUUCCCUUUUAUUCUGUCAAUGAAUUGUCACGGUUUGAGUUCAUGUGCAGUUUUAUUUUGUAGUUUCUUGUCUCCCUGGGUAACGUCACUUCCUGCCUUGUCCUGGCUGUCCCCCGUGAUUGACUGUCGUGUCAUGAUUGUUUCCAGCUGUUUCCAAUCACCUGCACCUCCCAAGUGUAUCUAGGUCAUGUGUGUUUGUUGUCACUGGUCGCGUCAUUGUUAGUUGUUCGUUAGCUCAUGUCCAUGUCACAGUUGUUGUGGUUUCUCGACUACGUUUUACCUUCUUGGAAUUUUUGAGUUUUGGAAUUUUUGACUAUUAAAGUCUGGAAAACUCUGCGUCUGAGUCCUACCUUCCCCAACGUACCGUCCAGACAGAAUGACGCGACCAGAAGAGGAGGCCAUCUCGUGGUCGUCCGGCGGCGGAUCGCACUGGGAGCGGGUGAUGGACCUCGCGGUCCGGCUCUAGGCCACCUACGCUCUCCACGCUCGGCCUCAGCGCACGACGUCCAGCGCUGGGCCGCAGCAGCUUCCCAACACGGCCUCCCGACCCAAGCCCAUGACCCCCCCCAGCCGACGCCCCGAUCCAGGCCCACGACUCUGGUACGGACCCCCGAUUCAAUCCCACGACUCCUGUACCGGCUCCCAGAUUCAAUCCCACGACUCCCGUUCCGGCCCCUCCACUAAAGCCCCCUCCCACCUGUCCCGUGGUCCCCUCCCCCCCAUGGCAGGGGUUGGACCGGCGUCCCAGUGCCCAGCCUCCGUGUCCUGCAGCCGGCGACUCCGGAGGCUUUAUGUGCCGCGCAGUCGGCAACGACUCCGGCUUCCCUCGCCGCGCAGCCGGCAACGACGGCUUCCCGUUCCAGUGUCCUGCAGUCGGCGCCCGGGAGCCAGACUCCUGACCGUCCUCCGGGCCGACCCCCGGAGCCCCCCCCGGCAGUCUGACCGCCCGCCGGGCCGCCCGCCAGGGUUCUCUGGUGUCCCUCCCGCCCCUUGUCUGUUCCUUGCCAGGUUAGGGCCAUCUGGAAUUUGGCCCUUGAGGGGGGAGUUCUGUCACGGUUUGGGUUCAUGUCCGGUUUUAUUUUGUAGUUUCUUGCCUCUUGUCUCCCUAGGUCACGUCACUUCCUGCCUCGUCCUGUCGCCAGUGAUUGUCUGUCGCGUCAUGAUUGUUUCCAGCAAUUUCCAAUCACCUACCCCUCCGUGGUAUUAACGCCAUGUGUGUCACGUCAUUGUUAAUUGUGCGGAAGCCCAUGUCCACGUCAUAGUUCCUGUCUCCUGUUCCUCAACUACGUUUUGCCUUUCUGGAAAUUUGAGUUUGGAUUUUUUGACUAUUAAAGUCCCUUUUUGUUUCUGGAAAACUGCGUCUGAGUCCUACCUUUACCUCCUCGCACCUUCCUGACAUGAAUGUUGUUUUAUCUUAGCUUCCUG
ensembl:lncRNA